CCGGACCGGCGCACGGGUGAGUAACGCGUAUGCAACUUACCUAUCAGAGGGGGAUAACCCGGCGAAAGUCGGACUAAUACCGCAUGAAGCAGGGGCCCCGCAUGGGGAUAUUUGCUAAAGAUUCAUCGCUGAUAGAUAGGCAUGCGUUCCAUUAGGCAGUUGGCGGGGUAACGGCCCACCAAACCGACGAUGGAUAGGGGUUCUGAGAGGAAGGUCCCCCACAUUGGUACUGAGACACGGCCCAA
rnacentral:rRNA from 1 species